AAAUAAAGUUUCCCGGAGGCUCCGAUGAUCACGUGACAAAUCAUACCAAUUGACGCGUUUUUUACUGCAGAACUAGUCCUAUACUUUAGCCAAUGAGAAGUCGACUUCGUUUCCCUCCUGUGGCAGUCAUGGCGCCACCCGUGAGGUACUGCAUUCCGGGCGAACGUCUGUGUAACUUGGAGGAGGGCAGCCCGGGCAGCGGCACUUACACGCGACACGGCUACAUCUUUUCGUCGCUUGCUGGCUGCCUGACGAAGAGCAGCGAGAACGGAGCGCUUCCUGUCAUUUCUGUGAUGAGAGAAACAGAAUCCCAAUUACUACCAGAUGUGGGGGCUAUUGUAACCUGUAAGGUCUCUAGCAUCAAUUCGCGCUUUGCCAAAGUGCACAUCCUAUAUGUGGGGUCCACACCACUUAAGAACUCUUUUCGAGGAACUAUCCGCAAGGAAGAUGUCCGAGCUACUGAAAAAGACAAGGUUGAGAUUUAUAAGAGUUUCCGCCCAGGUGACAUUGUCCUAGCCAAAGUGAUCUCCCUGGGUGACGCACAGUCCAAUUACCUUCUGACCACUGCUGAAAAUGAGCUUGGGGUAGUGGUGGCCCACAGUGAAUCGGGGUACAGCUGCAAUUAUCUUUGUCCUGGGCUAGUCAUCAGCAAACCACCACAGACCCAUACAGUUCUUCCUGCCAAACACAGAGAAAAUGGCCUCCUUUCCCAGCUCUUUCCCUUUCCCAGCCUCUCCUAAAUGUAAGUCACACCAAGCCAUCUCAAAGCAGACACACAGCCAGCAGGAUUACAUUUCCUACACUUUCCAAACCUUUGCUUCAAUUCAAAAGGAUCUACGGUGAAGGCAAGAAGCUAGAAAGAGUAACCUGAGGCCAAAUACCUGUUCCACAUCAGGCAUCAAUGACCCUUUCAAAUGGCUGCUUCAACGUCCAGAGGUUAGAAGAGCGCAGGGCAAAAUCUGCCCUAAUUACAUCAGUGGAAGCACCUCCUCAGUACAGAGGGAUUCUCUGAGUUGCUGGCAGCUGAGAAUGCUUCCUUAUAAAAAGCAUUCCAAAACCACAAAGAGCUGUUCGCCCAGGGGGCAAGCCUGGGUAGGCGAGUUUAUCUCACUGCCACUUCCACCUUUGCCCAGCGUCUACCUGUUACUCAACCCAGAAUUGGAGCGAGCGGGAUGGACUAGGAAUAAGGAGAUACGACCUUGAACAAGUCAUCUAUGCAAUCCUCACUUUUCCCAGCUAUAGAAGAGGGCCAGGGAGGGAAAGUAAGGAAGGGGAUAAUAAUCUACUUCAUGGAAUCGUGCAGAGGACAACUCAAAUUAUUCAUUCAUUCACUCAUUCAUUCACUCAAUUACAUUUGUGGAUGCAUUCGGGGCACAAGAUUCGUGGGAUGCUGCUGAACAGCAAAGGCCUACAUAAGCACGUGGGUUUCGUGAGGCCUGUUGUCCGCCCAGCGCCGCGUUACUCCCCCACAGCCGGGGACAAGCGUGUGGUCUGACGCUUCACGAGGAUCCGCAGCAGCCUCUUGAAAAGGCUUGGUUACAGCUCCCGGAAGACACCGGCCAUCCAAUUUAAUAACCCGUCCCCGAGUUACUGAAUGCUCAGAUUAGUAAAUGGGAGAAUUUCGCCAAGGCGGUGUCGUGGAGAAUGCAGUGGGUUGCGGGGCGACCGCUCCCAGUACUCUUCCCGGCGUGGCCCAUCACACCACUGGGUGACCUUGAGCAAGUCGACAGCCCCCCCCCCCCCCGCACACACACCCUGAAACCAUUUUGCCAACCGCAAAAUAAACUGCAGGAGAGCUGAAGCCCAAGGUCAGCCCUCUCCGCGAGGGCACGGGGGCGAGCCAGGCGGCCCGCAACCAGGGGCGCCCGCCCGAGCCUCCGCAGCCCGCCCCGGCCCGUUCCUCACCUCGCAGCGCCUGCCCGCCGCGCUUCGCCUCCUCGUGCCCGGCAGGGCUCAAGUCGGCGUCGUACCAGCCGCUGAAGCGGUUCUCCAGGUUCCAAGCGCUCUCGCCGUGCCUGAUCAGCACCAGCUUAUAGGCGGCCAUGGUGGCGGCUCGGGGUGCGACGCAGAGUGGGACUCGCUGAGAUUCCGGAGUCGCUGUCCGGCCCCAGCCGCGCCUGCGCGCUCGCACUCCACCGCCCAGCUCCCGCGCACUUGCUCUUCCAAAUCUUUCCACUAGCUCUGGGCCGCCCUCCGCCCGCCGGGUGUGCGCAUGCGCCCCGUGCCAGCGCUGCAGCCGCCGUGGGGGAGGGGCGCGCUCGAGGGCGCCAGAGCGCAUGCGGUCUCGUCCGCCUGCCCCUCGUCAGCCGCGGCGGUCACGGAGCGCACGUAAGCUCCGAAAGGCGGCGGAACUUUCACCUCGCGCCGGGGCGUGUGUGCCGGUGGUAGCGUUGAAGAGCAACCGUGCUUUCCUUGUGUUGCCGCUAUUCAUAAGCCGAUUGUCUUAAAGUGGCUCUUAUUGUUUGAAUCGCGCUUAGCAGGGAGAAGAUGGAAUUCAGUGACCAGACAGAUGACUGGGGUGAGGUCCAGCUCUAAAAGCUACACCCAGAGUUCACAGAAUCCCAGGGCUGCAAAGUGAGAACUGCCUUUGAAGGCCUCCUGUUCAAGCUCCCAGCAUGGCCCACGUGGGGAUCCUUGAAAGACUCCCUGUUUGGAGGUUCUCCCUCUGCCUGAUCCUACUUCUUGGUCAUCCCGAUCCUGACACCCAACCCCUCUCAGGGAGAGCUUUUCCAGCCUUAACCUUGGCUUUUCAGACUGUACUUUUUGUCCCUCUGCCUUGGCCCUAAUCCAUACUCCCAGUCAUGGCUCCUGCCAUGUCCCUUUCUCUUCCCCCUGUUCUCUGCUUCAAGAUUUCUGUGCUUUUGUGUAGUUGAGGUCUCAUAUUUAUGCAAUGAGUAGGAGAUAAAUAGGAAGAAACCUGA